CGGUGAGCGGGAUCCAGAAGGAAGCUGCAGUCACUGCUGUUCCUGGGGAUGUGACAUUGAGUAGGAAAACAGAUUCAAGUCCCCGAAAGGUGACCAAAGCACGAAGAUCUUCACAUGAUAAAUCAUCUACAUGUGAUAAUUAUGGGAGCUAACAUUUAUUGAGCAUGUCGUCUAUGCCAGACCCCACUGUCAUGAGAGGGGCUGAGAGAUAAUUUAACAGACUACUGAGUAUGAUGUGUGCUGAACCACAUUGGUUCUUGGGAAUCCAACCAAGGAGAAUUCAGGAUCUAGAAAUAUGGAAAAUUUAGAGCACCUCCAAGGAACUCUGUCCAGAUGGUUGUCUUCAUAUUUAAUUUUUAAUUUCCUUUAUCAACUGUCUUCAAUUUAAAAUGAUGUUACCAUGCAUUACUGUGUGUCGCUGUAAUGGGAGGAGAGGGGCUGCUACAAUGAACCCAAACAUCGACAGGUGGUGACAUCACCAUGCGUGGUACAGAACAGUCUACCUCCAUCACAAAUGCGAAGGGUACAUUCAUCCUCAUGGCACGGAGUGGGAGCCUGGUGAAUGUUUGGGAUGAUUUUAUGGUACGAGCCAUUGCAGGCCUGGUUUCUUGCAAGUGGAGUCUUGUACACAGAGAUAUUUGUGGGUUAAGAAUGCAGGACUACCAGUUUUCAGGGG
ensembl:lncRNA